UUUUUUGAAAUUUCAAUAGCGGAGGAAAAGAAACUAACAAGGAUUCCCCUAGUAACGGCGAGUGAAGCGGGAAGAGCUCAAAUUUGUAAUCUGGCACUUUCAGUGUCCGAGUUGUAAUCUCGAGAAGUAUUUUCCGCGCCGGACCGCAUACAAGUCUGUUGGAAUACAGCGUCAUAGUGGUGAGAACCCCGUAACUGAUGCGGAUGCCCGGUGCUUUGUGAUAUACUUUCGAAGAGUCGAGUUGUUUGGGAAUGCAGCUCAAAUUGGGUGGUAAAUUCCAUCUAAAGCUAAAUAUUGGAGCAAGACCGAUAGCGAACAAGUACCGUGAGGGAAAGAUGAAAAGCACUUUGGAAAGAGAGUUAACAGUACGUGAAAUUGUUGGAAGGGAAACGCUUGAAGUCAGACUUGCUAUUCGGAGUUCAGCCGCAAGGUGUAUUCUUCGAUUUGCAGGCCAGCAUCAGUUUUUGGGGGUGGAAAAUCGUGGUUUGAAGGUAGCAGUUUCGGCUGUGUUAUAGCUUUCCACUGGAUUCAUCUUCGGGGACUGAGGAACGCAGUACGCUUUUUGCAAGGCUUUCGAGCUCUCGUACUAGGAUGCUG
rnacentral:rRNA from 1 species